rnacentral:lncRNA from 1 species
GGGCAAUGGCGGGCGCCCCUCCCCCAGCCUCGCUGCCGCCUUGCAGUUUGAUCUCAGACUGCUGUGCUAGCAAUCAGCAAGUCUCCGUGGGCGUAGGACCCUCCGAGCCAGGUGCAGGAUUUAAUCUCGUGGUGCGCCGUUUUUUUAAGCCGGUCGGAAAAGCGCAAUAUUCGGGUGGGAGUGACCCGAUUUUCCAGGUGCGUCCGUCACCCCUUUCUUUGACUUGGAAAGGGAACUCCCUGACCCCUUGUGCUUCCCAAGUGAGGCAAUGCCUUGCCCUGCUUCGGCUCGCGCACGGUGCGGGCACCCACUGACCUGCGCCCACUGUCUGGCACUCCCUAGUGAGGUGAACCCGGUACCUCAGAUAGAAAUGCAGAAAUCACCCGUCUUCUGCGUCGCUCACGCUGGGAGCUGUAGACCGGAGCUGUUCCUAUUCGGCCAUCUUGGCUCCUCCGGAUCAGAUUUAUUUGGAGAAGACAAAAAACCCACAACCCAAAGGAUGGGAUUUUACAUCUCAAGACAUCUCCUAGAAUGUCUCUCUGGCUUCCUCUCCCUCUCAGAGACCCAAUUUGGAACUGAAACCCUGAGUACAGCAAAACUGCAUUUCCCAAGCUCCUCUUCUCUCAAUGGGUCACAUGACUUGUUCUAGCCAAUAGAACGAGGGUGGAAGUAAUGUGACCACUUUCAGGUGUCCCCUAAAGUCUCCUGUGAGAUCUUCCAAUCUUGCUCUCCUCACUCUGCAUGGCUGGAAAUGAAUACUCUGAUAUCUGAAACAACAUGAUGAAGGAGCCAGGAUGCCUAAGUUCACCACUU